UACUUGUUACGAAUGUAUUCUAAGACUGCAGCCGGUGAAAGUGAUAAAACAGAUGUAAUCAUAGUAAAAACAGAAAAGCCUCUCGCUAAGGUUAGCAUUUCUACAACGGAAUCUACUUUGGUUCUUGGAGCAGGAUUUAUAAUGAUAAUAGUGUUCUGGUGUGGGACAAAAGUGGUAAAGAACAGAAAGUGGUUCUCAAGAGACCAAGAUAGGAUACCUCCGUUACGCAGAAAUGAGGAAACAUCUGUCAGACUUGCUCAAUAUGAUGAAAUUGAUAGCAUAUAUUAUAACCCACUUAACAUUACCGUUUCUCCUCAAAAUACUAGGAAUAACGC